UACGUAGGGUGCAAGCGUUGUCCGGAAUUAUUGGGCGUAAAGAGCUCGUAGGCGGUCUGUCGCGUCUGCUGUGAAAACUCGGGGCUUAACCCCGGGCCUGCAGUGGGUACGGGCAGACUAGAGUGCGGUAGGGGAGACUGGAAUUCCUGGUGUAGCGGUGAAAUGCGCAGAUAUCAGGAGGAACACCCGGUGGCGAAGGCGGGCU
rnacentral:rRNA from 1 species